CAGCGAGUAAGUCCUAUUCGAACCAAUGAUGCCUGCAUUAGUGGGAUGGGAGAACUAGGGUAGGGGUCGCUU
rnacentral:sRNA from 12 species